UUAGGCAAAAUGCUUUCUUGUCAGAUAUGGAGAUUUCUGUCCAAGAUUAGUUAUGCCUGCUACCUUAUCCAUCCUACUAUAAUAAUAUUCUAUUGUGGACUUCAAGAAACCCUCUUUCACUACCUGGAUAUCAACAUGUUUUACCUGUUCAUCGGACAUUCAUUCUUGACAUUCGCUGCUGGACUUGCCCUGACCAUAAUGGUUGAAAGACCAUUUCAGAAACUGUUUGAUAUUUAGGAGUAUAUGGAUGACGUACUAUCUGCAACGGGUUACCAAGACCUAUGCAAGUACCUGAGUAGGAAAUAGGAUGACUUGGUGACACACAGCUCCAUCAAAAUGCACCAGAACCUCAAAAAGCAGCACCAACACAGAAAAGCAAUAAUCCACAGAUGAGAGGGGCCUCAGGGGCAUAUUUUGCAGGUCACAUAGAAUCCAAUCAGCAAUUGACUAUUAUUUGUCUGCUGCAUGUCGGACGAUACCAAAUAUUUAGUUUGUUGUUGUGGGCUGGGUAUGGAAAGUUUACCCAAUAAUGAGCUGCGCUACAAAUAA